CUCUCCUCCCGAAUUCAGUUGUGGCUUCAGCUGCCCUGCACAGCUGGGGCUGCGAAGUUGCCAGCAAGAAGCAGCCCCUGAAAAUCUCUGGGAAGACCAGUGUGCCCUUGGGGUGGGAUUCAGAGCACAGUGGGAUGGGGGAGGGUUGAGAAGGGGGUCUUGAUCCCCCUUCUCUUCCUCUAGGGGAGCCGAGGCUUGGGACUGGGGAGCAGCCGUACCCCAUGUGAGGAAGGGCGGGCCUGACUUACUGUAACUUCCUGGCCCAAAGCCCGAUUGUCCUGUGGUUGGGCUGCCCGGCCAGAGAGGCCCCUGGUGUAGGGAGGACUCAGGGAGAACUUGCCUCCCAUUGCCAGGGCCCACUGUGUGCAUACUGGGGGGCAGAGGGGCUGUGCUGCCGUUGAUUUCCUGAGACAGCUAGUAGACCAGAUGAGGCUGCCUGGAAGGUGGCUCCUCUUCCCUUAGCAGGUUGAGCCACUACCUAAAUGCCAGGUUAUUUACAAGAAAAAAAAAAAAAAAGGGGGGGGCUCAGCCCCUUUUGGAGGGCAUCAGAGCAGACAGUGUUGACUGAGCACUCACUAUGUACUACGCCAUGUGGACAUUUGCUCAAUGAACUGUCACAACCACCUAAGAAAACGGGAGCUGUUGUUACCCCCAUUGUACAGAUGGGAAGCCAAUUUAGAGUCCUGGGAUGCAAACUGGGUUUCCCCCCGGCUCCCGAUCCCCACUCCAUCUGGCCUAUGAGCGUGGGAACCAGUGUGGCCCGGAAGAGUGGCAGAUGGCCCAGCUGACUGCCCAGGUGCCCCCACCCCCCGACCACAUGGGCACGCGGCUUGCUCGGUACUCAGCUGACUUCCUGUCCCUGGAAGAGCAGCUGCCGGUAUGCUGGGGCAGGGCGGUCCCCUUCCUGUGGUUCAGGUCUGGGGAGAUCAAGGCCAACAGCAUGCUGUAUUAGGAUGGUCCCAGUCCAACAACUGAUGCCCUUAUACGAGGGAAGUCUGGCCACAGACACACAGAGGAGGCCACGCGGUGGUGGAGCCAGAGAUGUGUCUACAAACCAAGGAGCGAGCAGGUCCGCCGGCCACCACCAGAAGCUGGCAGGGGUGAGGAAGUCAUUUUUCCGUGGGGGCUUCAGAGGGAGCAUGGUCCCAGUACACCUUGAGUGUUGGCCUCCUGGCCUCCAGAGCUGUGAGAAAAUCCAUGUCUGUUGUUUGAAGCUGCUGAGUUUGUGGCAUUUUGUUAUGGCUGUCCCAGGAAAGAAAUACAAUCACCAAAUGUCAAACACAGGGCAGCUGGGAAAAACAAGAAGGAAAUGCAUGAGGCACGUAAAGAAAAGACUUGGAAGAGACCAAGGAGGGACAGGAAGGAACGCUUCCUCAACUUCCUCCUCGCACCCUGACAGGAAGCCAGAGAUCUAGUGGCUGAGCCUUGGAAGAAGUGGCUACUUUCCCCCACGCAAGAGCGGGUGAGCUUGGAUGUCGGAUGAAUGAGAAGUGUCUGAAUCUUGCUAGGUCCUAGGGAGACCCUGUUAAUAAUAACAAACUCACGAUAUGGUCUUGUCUCAUCCUCACCACAGUGCCUAAAGCAGGUUUUAUUGAAAUCCCCAUGUAUAGAUUAGGAACAAGGCAGGGCGGUUGGGUGCCUGCCCAGGGUCGCAUGCCAGCAGCAGUGAUCUGGAACACGAGCCCAGCUUUCCCACACUCUGCCCUUACCACUUGUCCUCUCCUGGUCCAGGGCUCCUGUGCCCAUGUCCAGUGCCUUGGUGGGGCUGGGCCAAGACACACAGUGAGCCCUCUGGCCACAGGCAGGGUCAUUGGAGACCUGCUGCCUGGGUUUGGAUCCCAGCUCUACUCCUGGUGAGCUGUGUGACCUUGCACAAGUUACAUUACAUCCCUGUUUUGCAGUUUAUCCCACUGAGAAAAUAGGGACAAGAAUAGUACGUAACUCAUGGAGUUGCUGGAGACCUCCAUGAGUCAGUAUGUUUCAGGUGCUUAGAAUAGUGCUUGGAACAUUGGAAGCACAGCCAUAAAAGUGUUGUGAAAUAAAUAAAACCCGCUGGGCGAGA